rnacentral:misc_RNA from 1 species
AUUUCUUUGGUGGAGCAUUUAUCCUAACAAAACAUUCACCAUCUCAUAAGAAUAACUGAAUGAGAUGGUGAUAAUCGCUGACAAUGACAGGAAUUCAUAAACUGUUGAUCAAAGGAAACCUUAAUAAGGAGAAACCGAGAACGUCGACAGGCUCUCUUCCAACACAAAUUGCAGAAAAUGAUACAUCCGCUUCAUCAGACGCAUUCAACCAACCUUCAGUUUAGAUAUCAUAGGUAAGAUCAUAGCGGCAUCAACUUCCAAUAUUCCACGGUCUUCGUGGGUCACAUUUCAAAUUCUCAAAGGCAGAAACACCCAUCAAUUCAGCAGCUUAAACAAUUUCAUGAUCUGCUGUCAGUGCAUUCCUUAUUUACCAUUCCACUAUCUUCUUGACCAGAGGAAAAUUCAAAUGCCAUUGUGAAAAUCAGAGUCGACAGCAUAUUCUAAUCAUCAUCGCUCUCCUUUCUCCACUCCUCAUCAUCAAAUAGAUCUUCAGGUGGAUCAUAAACUACAGCAUCCGGGAACAGUUCCAGAAAGUCAUCCUUCACUUUUUCUCUCAAUUCGGGGUAAGGAAGUAGCCCCUUCAACAUAACACGAUAAGGUAAAGACAUAGGAGGAUCAGGAGAGCGCCUCAUUUCAUCAUAUAUUUGCAUUGCCUCCAAAGGUAAUCCGCCAUCUAGAAAAGCCCUGACAAGAUCGCCAAAUGUAUGUUGAUCAAAAAGCACCCCUUCUUUCUUCAAAUCUUCCCAUACCUUCUUCGUUUCAUCUACCUUUUUGUUUCUUGCAAGCAUGAAAAGCAUAUCCCUGUAAAAAAACAUGUCUGGACGAUACCAUAUUUCUUUGCGCACAGCCUCAUACAACCUCAUGGAGAGGUAAGGGAGAUCUUGUCUUUGGAACUCAGCAAGAACGGCGACGAGGUCAGAUUUGAGUAGGCGAGAAACAUUGGACUUCAUGAACCGCUCAAACCUAACGGCGUCGGACUGCAAGCGCUUAAGCUCCUUGGCGACCAUUAAACCUUCUUUCCCCAUUUCUUUCUUGCGCCUCCAUAUAGACACACUUGGGCUUGAAGAUGACGCUGAACCAGCAAUCAUUUGUCUGAUUCCGCAGCUACGGUUUAAUACCGCCGCCCGCCGCAGAAGAUUCUGACCUUGACGCCACAUCUGCAACGGGU